rnacentral:rRNA from 1 species
UCGGGAAUUUUGGGCAAUGGGCGAAAGCCUGACCCAGCAACGCCGCGUGAAGGAUGAAGUAUUUCGGUAUGUAAACUUCGUAAGAAUAGGAAGAAUAAAUGACGGUACUAUUUGUAAGGUCCGGCUAACUACGUGCCAGCAGCCGCGGUAAUACGUAGGGACCAAGCGUUGUUCGGAUUUACUGGGCGUAAAGGGCGCGUAGGCGGUGUGUCAAGUCAGUUGUGAAAUCUCCGAGCUUAACUCGGAACGGUCAACUGAUACUGUCACACUAGAGUACAGAAGGGGCAAUCGGAAUUCUUGGUGUAGCGGUGAAAUGCGUAGAUAUCAAGAGGAACACCUGAGGCGAAGGCGGGUUGCUGGGCUGAUACUGACGCUGAGGCGCGAAAGCUAGGGUAGCAAACGGGGAUUAGAUACCCUAGUAGUCCCUGAGCGGGCUGGCAAGGCGCAU